UUUCCAUAGAAACUUUUCCAGUCUCAAGGAUAAAUUAAAAAAACCCCAAAAUGUACACUUGUUAAAACAAAUGGUAUUUCACUGAGAAAUACUUCGGCAUCUGUUUUCAUUCCGUUGUGCUCCUUUAGAAUAAUAAUGGUUGAAAAAUCGCCAGCUCAAACACUAUUCGUAUUAGUUGCAUCGCUGGUGACGGGUGUGAUGGCAUUCGCUUUGCGCUUUACUCAACUGGAAACAAGAGGGGAAAAGGACGAUGUCCAGGAAAAAUAUCAGGAAUGGAGGGAUGCCCUCAGCUUCUAUGGCUCUUUAUUUCGCUAAGCUACUACACUCUGUUGCUAUGCGUAAAUGAUACAAUGAUGACUGAGCAGACUAAAUUAAACAGACACGGGAUAAUGAAAAACAAUUGGUGCUUUGUUCUAAGGAAGAGAAGCAAGGAGUAAAACGAAAAUGUCCAUUAAAAACAAUUUGUACAAAGGAUUUUAAAUAUUCGGAAACUAUUGCGAAUUUUUUCUUUCGAUACUUCUGCUGCAAUUCAGCAUAGAGGCGUAAAAUAUCAAGUGGCAAACUCAGAACAGAAACAAAUUUUUAUAAUAAACUUAAUUCAUAACAGUGUA